rnacentral:rRNA from 1 species
AUACGUGGGUGGCAAGCGUUGUCCGGAAUUAUUGGGCGUAAAGCGCGCGCAGGCGGGAUAUCAAGUCUGCCUUAAAAGUGCGAGGCUCAACCUCGUGAGGGGACAGAAACUGGUAUUCUUGAGUGUCGGAGAGGAAAGUGGAAUUCCAAGUGUAGCGGUGAAAUGCGUAGAGAUUUGGAAGAACACCAGUGGCGAAGGCGACUUUCUGGACGAUGUCUGACGCUGAGGCGCGAAAGCUAGGGGAGC